rnacentral:rRNA from 1 species
AGUGAACGCUGGCGGUAGGCCUAACACAUGCAAGUCGAACGGCAGCACAGUAAGAGCUUGCUCUUACGGGUGGCGAGUGGCGGACGGGUGAGGAAUAAAUCGGAAUCUACUUUUUCGUGGGGGAUAACGUAGGGAAACUUACGCUAAUACCGCAUACGACAUACGGGUGAAAGCAGGGGAUCUUCGGACCUUGCGCGAUUGAAUGAGCCGAUGUCGGAUUAGCUAGUUGGCGGGGUAAAGGCCCACCACGGCGACGAUCCGUAGCUGGUCUGAGAGGAUGAUCAGCCACACUGGAACUGAGACACGGUCCAGACUCCUACGGGAGGCAGCAGUGGGGAAUAUUGGACAAUGGGCGCAAGCCUGAUCCAGCCAUACCGCGUUGGUGAAGAAGGCCUUCGGGCUGUAAAGCCCUUUUGUUGGGAAAGAAAAGCAGCAGGUUAAUACCCCGCUGUUCUGACGGUACCCAAAGAAUAAGCACCGGCUAACUUCGU